rnacentral:rRNA from 1 species
GACGAACGCUGGCGGCGUGCUUAACACAUGCAAGUCGAACGGAAAGGCCCUGCUUUCAGGGUACUCGCGUGGCGAACGGGUGAGUAACACGUGGGUGAUCUGCCCUGCACUUCGGGAUAAGCCUGGGAAACUGGGUCUAAUACCGGCUAGGAGCCAUUUUUAGUGUGAUGGUUGGAUAGUUUUUUCGGUGUAGGAUGAGCUCGCGGCCUAUCAGCUUGUUGGUGGGGUAAUUGCCUACCAAGGCGGCGACGGGUAGCCGGCCUGCGAGGGUGGACGGCCACAUUGGGACUGAGGUACGGCCCAGACUCCUACGGGAGGGAGAAGUGGGGAAUAUUGCACAAUGGGCGCAAGCCUGAUGCAGCGACGCCGCGUGGGGGAUGACGGCCUUCGGGUUGUAAAAUCCUUUCGCUAGGGACGAAGCUUUUUGUGACGGUACCUAGAUAAGAAGCACCGGCUAACUACGUG